rnacentral:rRNA from 1 species
GACGAACGCUGGCGGCGUGCCUAAUACAUGCAAGUCGAACGCAGUUGCGAACGGGUGAUUAACGCGUAUGUAACUGCCUCAUAGCGUGGGGUACCUAUUGGGACCGAUAGCUCAUACCGCAUACUGUGGGAUGUACCUGCGUUUUAUUAGCUCUUUGGUUAGGUAAAGGCUCAACAAGGCGACGAUACAUAGCCUAACUGAGAGGGUGAUCGACUAACAUGGGACUGAGAAACGGCCCAGACUCCUACGGGAGGCAGCAGUAGGGAAUCUUCGGAAAUGGGAGGAAGUCUGACCGAGCAACGCCGCGGGAGGGAAGAAGGUGUUCGGAUCGUAAAGCCCUGUUGUGAGAGAAGCGGUAACUAACCAGAAAGGGACGGCUAACUACGUGCCAGCAGCCGCGGUAAUUC